rnacentral:rRNA from 1 species
AACGAACGCUGGCGGCAUGCCUAGCACAUGCAAGUCGAACGAGACCUUCGGGUCUAGUGGCGCACGGGUGCGUAACGCGUGGGAACCUGCCCUUAGGUUCGGAAUAACUCCCCGAAAGGGGUGCUAAUACCGGAUAAUGUCUUCGGACCAAAGAUUUAUCGCCUUUGGAUGGGCCCGCGUUGGAUUAGCUAGUUGGUAGGGUAAAAGCCUACCAAGGCGACGAUCCAUAGCUGGUCUGAGAGGAUGAUCAGCCACACUGGGACUGAGACACGGCCCAGACUCCUACGGGAAGCAGCAGUGGGGAAUAUUGGACAAUGGGCGAAAGCCUGAUCCAGCAAUGCCGCGUGAGUGAUGAAGGCCUUAGGGUUGUAAAGCUCUUUUACCCGGGAUGAUAAUGACAGUACCGGGAGAAUAAGCGCCGGCUAACUCCGUG